rnacentral:rRNA from 1 species
AGCGAACGCUGGCGGCAGGCCUAACACAUGCAAGUCGAACGAUCCUUCGGGAUAGUGGCGGACGGGUGAGUAACACGUGGGAACGUGCCCUUAGGUUCGGAACAACUCAGGGAAACUUGAGCUAAUACCGAAUGUGCCCUUCGGGGGAAGGAUUUAUCGCCAUGGGAGCGGCCCGCGUUUGAUUAGCUAGUUGGUGGGGUAAAGGCCCACUAAGGCUACGAUCAGUAGCUGGUCUGAGAGGAUGAUCAGCCACCUUGGGACUGAGACACGGCCCGAAGUCCUGCGGGGGGCAGCAGUGGGGAAUCUUGCGGAAUGGGCGGAAGCCUGACGCAGCCAUGCCGCGUGAAUGAUGAAGGUCUUAGGAUUGUAAAAUUCUUUCACCGGGGACGAUAAUGACGGUACCCGGAGAAGAAGCCCCGGCUAACUGCGUGCCAGCCGCCGCAGUAAUAC